rnacentral:rRNA from 1 species
UACAGAGGCCACAAGCGUUAGACGGAAUCACUGGGCUUAAAGCGUGUGUAGGCGGGAUGGUAAGUACCUUGUGAAAUCCCACAGCUUAACUGUGGAAAUGCUUGGUAUACUGCCGUUCUUGAGUCACCUAGGGGCAGCUGGAACAGAUGGUGGAGCGGUGAAAUGCAUAGAUAUCAUCUGGAACGCCAAUGGUGCAGACAAGCUGCUGGGGGUGUACUGACGCUGGAGGCACGAAAGCCAGGGGAGCAAACGGG